rnacentral:piRNA from 1 species
UCGUAACUCCUUCAGGAUGGAUGGUA